GCUGUGGUCCUGGAGUGGUGCUGGCUGCAGGUCCUGCUGCCCUCAGCUGUGGCAGCCUAGGUGGCUCCAGUGCGUCCCUCACCCAGCCAUCUGCAUUGCCCAGCACAGGAGCUCCACAGUAACCAGGGGCAGAGGUCAGGAUGGAUCUGCAGCAUGCUUAGCAAAGGGGCCAGGCACAUCUCUGAAGACUUCCCUGCAUAAACCAAGGCUGCCAGGAUGCAUGUGGUGAGAGGACCAAGAAAUCAAGUCUUCUGCUGGACAUGUCUGGUCCCUGUGGGCUCACACCCUGCAGGCAUCAACCACAGAGGAAGAACGAGUUGGAGAAGGAAGAGUAAGGCAGCAGGAGGAAAGGAUACCACUCCGAAAUGGCUUCCCCAGCUUCUCUGUGCUCCAGGCUUGGGGCUGGCUGCGGUGGCCCAGCAUGCCCCCUUCAGCUUGCCCUCUGCUCUUUUCACUGCCAGCUUUUCCUGUGCCCCCAUAUCCCCCCACAGCCUGGUGCUUUUCCCCAGUCUCUGCUUAUCUCUCCCACUGCAUCCAGCAUGCUGGGUGCAAGGGUAUAAGGAUGUCAGCCUGAGGUUUCGAUGCCCAGGACGGAAACAUGAGCACCCCCUAAGAGCAGGGAGGAGGGCUAGGAGCAGGAGCGUGCAGAGGCUGUUUAUUUUCUGUCCCUUGGGGAGGUAGGCUCUCACCUCUGGCUCAAAUUACAAGUCAUGUCACAUCUUGGGAGGCUUGAAAUUGUGUUUCUCAGCAAUGUUCCCAAAGAGAUUAGAGGUACUGAAAUGGCUGAAAUACCUUCUGAGCCUGGAGCAGAGCAAGCCACUGAACUCAGCAGUGUGGGAUGGGGAAAGAGCUGUGGCAUCCUUUCCCUCGGGUGGAGAGGGGAGGGCCAGGGGAAGCCCACCCCUUGCUCCCUCCCCACACAUCUCCCGGUUUGAGGUUGUUUUUUGAGUGCCAGGUCAGUGGUGUAAAUGGGAUGUGGGAAGAGCUGGAAUGGGCACCUUCCCUCCAGCAGGGCAUGGAAAGACCCAGCCAGCACCCCAAAGAUGAGGUGUCUGGACAGUGGUGCCUGACUGCUCGCUUGUGGAGCUGGGUGCUGCUCCCUAAAUUUACAGACAGCAAGUGGAGGGCUGUGAUUUAAGAGGAUUAAGAAGGCCCCAGCAGCCAGGCAGAAGCUGAC